UCAGGACGAACGCUGGCGGCGUGCUUCAUACAUGCAAGUCGAACGAUAAGGUCUCUUCGGAGAUACAUAAGUGGCGGACGGGUGAGUAAAAUGUAGAGAAUCUGCCCUAGAGAUGGGGACAACAGUUGGAAACGACUGCUAAUACCCAAUAUGAGCGUAGUUGAAAUACUAUUCUUGAAAACUCCGGUGCUCUGGGAUGAGUCUGCAUCUGAUUAGCUAGUUGGAGGUGUAAUGGACCACCAAGGCGACGAUCAGUAGCUGGUUUGAGAGGAUGAUCAGCCACAAUGGGACUGAGACACGGCCCAUACUCCUACGGGAGGCAGCAGUAGGGAAUUUUGCGCAAUGGGGGAAACCCUGACGCAGCCAACGCCGCGUGAAUGAAGAAGCCCUUCGGGGUGUAAAGUUCUGUCAGUAGGGAAGAAUAAAUGACUGUACCUACAGAGGAAGCAUCGGCUAACUCCGUGCCAGCCGCUGC
rnacentral:rRNA from 1 species